rnacentral:lncRNA from 1 species
AAACAGGUUUAGUGAGACAAAAUCUUUUUGUCUACGUGGGAAUGGCUCGGAGAAACUGGUUCUCAAGGGGGAAUCAAAAGAUUAAAUUCAGCUGCGUUGCCAAUUUAUUUGCAGGCCAAACAAGUGUGCGAUGGAAAUCUUUGGAGGGGGAGGUGCCCGCCUCUGUGAGAAGCCCCUGUUGACAGCACCAGAGGGGGCUCCCAGGCAGCUGUCCUGACCACAGCUGAGACUGAGCUUAAUGGAGGGAGAUUUGUGCGGGGAGAGAAUGAGCAUCUCAGUGCUUGACUGAGGCUAUCCUGGAUUAAGCCAAGUGAAGCUUUAGCCGAAAAAAGCCAUUACAAACUUCUCUCUGUGAAGAUCCACAGGAGAAAUUUCUCUCUGGCCUCAGUACUAGAAAGACUUGUGUUUCUCCUGAGUGCCUGUUUACCUUACAGACUCUGUGAAUAAGAUAAUUCCAUCGUUUUGAGACUGUGUUCCCAAGAGUCAGGGGGGGGUCUUCCAGACUGCCUGAGGAGCUACUAUGGGCUUGGGAAUGAGAGCAAAGAGGGAGGUGGACAUGGGCUCUGGGGACUUGGAUUCUGGCUUCCACGAGAGCAGACCUGCUUUUUUGUUUUCUGCAUAAAUUUUAUAUGAAGAAAGGAUUCAGUGGCCAGCAAAAAGGUCUGGAAACCACUGACUUAACCAAUUGCUUCUUGUAGCAUUUAGAAUAAACUCUAACCCAGAACCAGAGUGGUCUGCCCUUGCAUAUCCUUUAGCUCAUCCUGUGUUGUCUCCCUUCACUCAUUACUUUAUUUAUACCUAUCUUUCAGUUCCUGCAGUAAAAGCCAUGGUCCUUCCAACAUGAUGGCCACUGGCUGGAAUCUUUUCUCAACCUUUGUCUGAUGAUCUCUUCACUGUAGAAUCACUGGGGUUUAUGUUCAGCUACGUACAACAGUGAUUCUCAAAGAACUGUGGCUUAAACAAGACAGACAUCUGUAUCUCUUUUAUGUCAGGCGGGAAUCUAGGGUCCCUGUGGUGUCUUUAGAAUGUCAUCUGGAUGUGUCUUUCUUCUCUGCCACCCUCGGACAUGCCUUUCAUCUUCAAGAUCCCGUCAUGGUCCAAAGGACUUUGGAGCCAUCAGUAGGAAGAAGUGGGAACCACAAAGCGAUGCUUCUCCCAACCAAAGCUGCUGUCUUUAAGCAGUUUCCGGAAGCCAAGAGUGUUUCCACUUACAUUUUAUUGGCCAGAACUUAGUCACGUGGUCAUCUCCCACUGUAAGGGAAGCUGGAAAAUGUAACGUUUUAUUGGGGCAGUAAUGUGCUUCCUUAAAAACUGGAAUUCUAUUAUUAACAAAGAAGGAGGAAAUGGAAAUCAGGAGGCAACUCGGAGGUUUCAAGUUCAAUGUCACUCUCCCCCAUCUAAAGUGUGAUCUCAAUCUUCCCUAAUAUUUGCUCUCUUAGAACACUAUUCAUUUCCUUUAUGGAAUUUUCAUAAUUUAUAACUUAUGUCUAACUGUUAAAAUUUGUCUUCAAAGCUGGAUGGUAAGUUCUCCGAGGCGAAACACUGAGUCUUUGUUAUCCCACGCCAUAUAACCUAGGUCCAACAA